rnacentral:rRNA from 1 species
UGGGGUGCCCGAAAGGGAACGGGGACACAGGUGCUGCAUGGCUGUCGUCAGCUCGUGUCGUGAGAUGUUGGGUUAAGUCCUGCAACGAGCGCAACCCCUGCCAUUAGUUGCCAGCGGCUUGGCCGGGCACUCUAAUGGGACUGCCGGUGACAAACCCGAGGAAGAUGGGGACGACGUCAAGUCAUCAUGGCCCUUAUGGGUAGGGCUUCACAC